rnacentral:misc_RNA from 1 species
UCCGGUUUGUCACCGGCAGUCUCCUUAGAGUGCCCUUGCGUAGCAACUAAGGACAAGGGUUGCGCUCGUUGAUGGACUUAACCAAACAUCUCACGACACGAGCUGACGACGGCCAUGCAGCACCUGUCACUUGGCUCAAUAAAGCACUUUCUCCUUUCAGAGAAAUUCCAAGGAUGUCAAACCUGGGUAAGGUUCUUCGCUUACCAUCGAAUUAAACAACACGCUCCACCGCUUGUGCGGGUCCCCGUCAAUUCCUUUAUGUUUUAGUCUUGCGACCGUACUCCACAGGCGGGAUGCUUAACGCGUUAGCUUCGCUACUAGAAGGGUCGAUACUUCUAACAGCUAGCAUCCAUAGUUUACGGCGUGGACUAC